CAGCCGUAAACUAUGCGCGUUAGGUGUAUCGGUGACCACGAGUUACCGAGGUGCCGAAGGGAAACCGUGAAACGUGCCGCCUGGGAAGUACGGUCGCAAGGCUGAAACUUAAAGGAAUUGGGCGGGGGAGCACCACAACGGGUGGAGCCCUGCGGUUUAAUUGGACUCAACGCCGGACAACUCACCGGGAACGACAGCAAUAUGUAGGCCAGGCUGAAGACCUUGCCUGAAAUCCGCUGAGAGGAGGUGCAUGGCGUAGACGUCU
rnacentral:rRNA from 1 species